rnacentral:rRNA from 1 species
AUCUACUCAGAGUGCUUGGGUGGAGGUAUGCGUUUGGGGCCGGGGGCGUGCGUCUCGUGCGUACGUUCUCGCGCUUUGGCGCUUCCUCUUUUGCUCACCUCUGUGCUCUUACUCGGAGGGGGUGACUUCUGUGUCACCUUGAGUAAAUCAUGGUGCUCACAGCAGUCGUGCGGGCCCUGUGCCCUGUGAACAGUCUAUGCGGACUGAAUUGGUUUUGCAAGGCAUGACGAAACAUGACGUCGCUGCUGGUCGCGAGUGUGAGGGCGCAGUCCUCGUGGCUGUGCCGAGCGGUUUGCCAGUAGUGACGUAAUGAUCAAUGGAGACGGUAGCUGGCAUUGGUAUUGCGCGGCGAGAGGUGAAAUUCUGCGACCCCCGCAAGACCUCCUAAAGCGAAGGCGUCUGCCAAGGACGUGUUCACCAAUCAUGAACGAAAGUCAGAGGAUCGAAGGCGAUCAGAUACCGCCCUAGUUCUGACCCUAAACGAUGCCAACCAUCAAUCCGCGUGAGCACCCUAUCUAACGGGCUCGGCGGGCAGCUCCCUUCUUCCGGGAAACCAGAGUUUUUGGGUUCCGGGGGGAGUCUGGUUGCAAAGCU